UUUUUUUUUUUGAGACUGAGCCUCACUCUGUAGCCCAAGCUGAAGUGCAGUGGCGCCAUCUUGUUUCAUUGCAACCUCCACCUCCCAGGCUCAAACAAUUCUCAUGCCUCAGCCUCCCUAGUAGCUGGGACUACAGGUGCAGGCCACCACACCUGGCUAACUUUUUGUAUUUUAGUAGAGACGGGGUUUCAUCAUGUUGCCCAGGGUGGUCUCAAAUUCCUGAGCUCAGGCGAUCUGACCGGCCUCAGCCUCCCAAAGUGCUGGAAUUACAGGCAUGAGCCACCACGCCCAUCCUUUAGGCUAUUUUCUUUCUUUCUUUUCUUUUCUUUUUUCUUUUUUUUGAGACAGGGUCUCGUUCUGUCACCCAGUCUGGAGUGCGUUGGUACGAUCUCCGUUCAUUGCAGCCUUUGGCUAUUUUUUAAUUGUUUGCUUGUUGUUUUCUUACUGUUGAGUUUUGAGAGUUCUUGGUAUAUUCUAGACAUUAGUCUACUAGAUACUAGAUGUGUGAUUGCAAAUAUUUUCUUCCAGUCUGUAGCUUGUCUUUUAAUCCUUUUAACAAGGUCUUUUGCAGAGCAAAAGUUUUCAUUUUGAUCAGAAACAAUUUAUCAAUUUUUUGUUUUAUGGAUUAUGCAUUUGGUGUCAAGUCUAAGAACUCUGUGUAGUCCUACCUCAAGAGAUUUUCUCCUGUGUUUUUCUCUAAAAGUUGUAUAGAUUUACAUUUUAUGCUUAAGUCUGUAAGCUAUUUUGAGUUACUUUUUGUCUGGAGUGUGAGAUUUAGAUCAAGGUUCAUUUGUCUCUACAUGUCCCAUUGCUCCAGCACAGUUUGUUGAAAAGGCUGCCUUUCCUCCACUGAAUUGCUUUUGCACUUUUGUAAAAUUCAGCUGCCUGCUUGUACAGGUCUAUUUCUGGGUUCUCUCUUUUGUUUCUUUGGUCUGUGUCUAUUCCUCCACCAAUACCACACAGUCUUGAUUAUUGAAGUUCUCUAUAAAUCUUGAAAUUGAAUAGGCUGGUUCCUCUCACUUUAUUCUUCAUUUACAAGACUUUUUUUUUUUUUUUUUUUUUUUUUUUUUUUUGGUAGAGAAGGAAUCUCUCCAUGUUGCCCAGGCUGGUCUUGAACUCCCGGCCUUAAGCCACCCUCCCACUGUGACCUCCCAAUGCACUGGGAUUACAAAUGUGAGCUACCACACUCAGUCUACAAGAUUCUUUGAACGAUUCUAGUUCCUUCACCUUUCAAUAUAAAUUUUAAAAUAACCUUGUUUAUAUUCAUUAAAAAUUUUGCUGGGAUUAUGAUAGGAAUUGCAUUAAACAUGUAUAUUCUUCGAGAACUGACAUUUUUACUAUUAAGUCUUCCAAUCCAUGAACAUGGGUAUAUAUGUCCAUUUAUUUAGUUGUUCUUUGAUUCCUUCAUAAAUGUUGUAUAGUUUUCAGCAUACAAGUUCUAUACACAUUUGGUCAAAUUUAUACCUUUUUUAAAAUAAGUAAUUAUAAAUGUUAGGUAUAUUUAAUUUCAGUUUCCACAUGUUAAUUUGUAGCAUAUAGAGGUAAAAUUGAUUUUUGUAUGUUGAUCUUGUAUCCUGUAAUCUUGUUGAACUCACUUAUUAAAUACAGAUAUAGGGUUCUUUUUUUUGGCAUCUAUUGUCUUCUGUAAUCCAGGAGGGUUUGGGUUUUUGGUGUUUGGCUUUGUUUGUAGCUUACUUGGGGUUUUCUACAUAGACCAUCAUUAUAUUUGAAGGGAGUUUCUUGUAGACAACAUAUACUUAUAUCAUUUUAAAAAAUCCAUUCUGCCAAUGUCUGUUUUUUAGUUGGUAUAUUUAGACCAUUUACAUUUAAUGUAAUUAUCAUAUUGUUAUGGUUUAAGUCUGCCAUUUUAUUUUUAUUUCGGUUCUCUCAUUUAUUUUUUCUUUUUCUUUUCUUCUUCUAGGUUACUUGCACAGGAACUUUUUCUUGUUUUGUUUGGUUUGGUUUGGUUUUGAGAUGGAGUCUCGCUCUGUUGCCCAGGCUGGAGUGCAAUGGUGCCAUCUUGGCUAACUGCAACCUCCGUCUCCCAGAUUCAAGCAAUUCUCC
rnacentral:lncRNA from 1 species